rnacentral:rRNA from 1 species
AUUGAACGCUGGCGGCAUGCCUUACACAUGCAAGUCGAACGGUAACGGGCCUUCGGGUGCCGACGAGUGGCGAACGGGUGAGUAAUGCAUCGGAACGUACCUUUCAGUGGGGGAUAACGUAGCGAAAGUUACGCUAAUACCGCAUAUUCUGUGAGCAGGAAAGCAGGGGAUCGCAAGACCUUGCGCUGAUUGAGCGGCCGAUGUCAGAUUAGCUAGUUGGUGAGGUAAAGGCUCACCAAGGCGACGAUCUGUAGCGGGUCUGAGAGGGUGGUCGGCCACACUGGGACUGAGACACGGCCCAGACUCCUACGGGAGGCAGCAGUGGGGAAUUUUGGACAAUGGGGGCAACCCUGAUCCAGCCAUGCCGCGUGAGUGAAGAAGGCCUUCGGGUUGUAAAGCUCUUUCAGCCGGGAAGAAACGACAUUGGUUAAUACCUGAUGUGGAUGACGGUACCGGAAUAAGAAGCACCGGCUAACUACGUGCCAGCAGCCGAC